GUCAUCACUUGCCACCGAUUUUUCACCAUGAGCUCGUGGGUUUAUUACCAUUUUGUCGUUUGGAGACUGGUCGUGCCCAAAUCAUUAUAAAAUCAGUCUAGUUGAAGAAUGUUUGGGAGAGGACAUUCUUUGGUAGAUGAUUAAGGAAAUCUUUUCCAGCGCAUAUUUCAGGCUUAAUAUUAUGCACUUAAUCUGUUCGACGCAUUGCCUUGGCAUAAUACAAAGCAAGCCAAACCGAGAAAAACAGCUGCAUCUAGAGCCAUGUUAGAUGUCGUUUAUCCAGAUUGCCCUCAUUCAAAAGCUUUUAGUAGCAAUAUGAAACCUCUAGAAGCAAAGUAUUGAGUUAACCACGAUGCAUCAACCACCGUUAGCUCAUGCAACAAUUAGCACCACCACCGCUCAAUACAAGGAACAGUAAGCAUAAAUUCCAAUGGAGACCAGACUUGGAGAUAGCGUGCUCUUUGAACUUACAUGGCCUAUCCAUUUCAGCUUUUUACGGAUGGUUCUAUUGUCACAGGUAACUGUGGUUUUGUAGAAUAAACUUUACUUUCUCUAUCCCUCUACAAUUGAAAUUUCUCAUCACAUUGGGUGGGAUAGCCCAUUAGUUAUAUCAAGAUUUACUACGUGACAUUUUAUAAUUCAAGUAAUACUUUGUGAUAUAGUAAAUAUUUUAAGAAAUACUAUAUACCAAACAUAGACUCAAACAGUCUUUGUAAUUGAAUUUUUUUAAAAUGACCCUAGAAUUAAGCAAUACUUACAAAAUAGAAAAAAAAUAAGAAUUUGGCAGACCAACGCAUAAAGAAUACUAGGGUCAUUCAUCCUUAUCAUUUAGAUUUCGAAAUCAAUAUAAAAUUUCUUUAUGCCAUGAAGUUCAUAAUUCUUUGUUUUUAUCAAAGUUUUGCCAUGAUGAUAUCCAAAUUUUUCUGCAUUGUUGUGGAAUAUGGACAUUGAUGUAUGAAUGUAUUCAUAGAUGCAGUAUAUUAAGAUCUGCACUUAUGCUACGUCUCUUUGACCUCUCUAAUCAAUAAUCGCCAUAACAAUAUUGUACAAUCUAGUAACAUCAGCUUCAUACUAUGGCCCCGUUUGGGAGGGAUUUUGAGAAUUGAUUUUUUAAUCUUUAGAAGAAAAGUGGGGUCUAUCUGUGAGAGAAAAAGUCAAAAAUUAUGGUUAGAAUAGUGAAAUAAACGGUCAAAAAAUCAAUUUUUUGGGGUAAAAAAUCCCUCCCAAACAGGCCCUAUAUCUCGAUGUUUUUCAGAUCAUUUUUUGCACUUGCAUAUGUUGCUUGCUCACUUCGAGCCAACUAAGACUAAGUAGGCACAUCAUUGGACAAUGCCUGGUCACCAUUACUAUUUUCUGCAUUGUGGAUACACGAUUCACUCAAAUAAAAUAUGCUAGAUGUACCUUAUGGUACAUUCCUGUUUGACUACUCGUACAAACUCUGCAACAUAGCAAUGUUCUCUCAAUCAAUGCUUGCUUUCUAGCAACUGCUCAACUUUCACAUCAUCAAAACUAAGUAGCAUGGAUGCAUAGUGGUGUUUGAAAUGUUUGAAUGUACAACGUGGCAAUAUAAUACAUGGUUUGAAUUUUGGGGAUGUGGUCUUCUAAUUUUCAAAAUGAAUUCCAGCUAUUACAUAUAUCACAUUUAUAUACACUUCCAAAAGAAAUUUACAAUUCUAGAAUUAUGAAUAGAAAACGCUAUUUUAAAAUCAUGGAAUAUGAACGAAGAAACAACAAAGCAUUAUAUUAACAUUUUCAUUUGUGUAAAAGCCACCAUAAUAAUUCUAGCUUCUCGUUCUACAUUGUUCAAUAACCACCCGCUUCAUCUUAGUGUCACGCAUAACACUAUGCGACACAAGAAUGUAGAACCACUUUUGGUUAUUGAUAUAUUGUGGAAGAAACUUGAAAAAACAACGAUUAUUGAAAUGGAAAGGCUUCGAUUCGAUUGAAUACAGUGAUAAUACACCUUCGAUUGGGGUUUAUAUAUAGGCCAAGAAACCCUAAUCACAUGUACUGAAGAUUAAAACACUAAUUCUAGAAAAUAUUUUGAUAGACUAAAUGUGUAGUGAAUCUAUGAAAGGAUCGGUUUGCACUGAAGACUUCAAUAUCUUAGAGAGGAUUCUAGAUGGAGAAUAAUGAGAAUGAAUAUGAAUCGAAGUGAAUUAGUGGAUUUUGGCUGUAAAUUUAUAAUAAGAAGUGUCUUUGGACGAACGAAUUCAGCUUAUAAUUGAUUAUCUCGUGCAAGUGAUAUUAUUAUGGUAAAGGACGUGUUAGAUGGAACCAAUUCACAAGUGUUUUGAUUUUCUACUAUGAGUGAGGUGAUUUCCUCAUUUUUUAUUUUACUAUAUUUUCUAAAGUAAUCAUAGGAUAAAAUUAAUUCUAAAGUAAUUCUUGAAUUUUAUGUAAUACUAGGUAAUGGGUAUAAUUUCCACAUUUAUAAACUAAAUUGUGCUACUAUUUCCAAAUUGAGAAUUCAUAUACUUGAGCUUUAAUUUUGAUGAUUCUGUCGAUGAAUUUGAUUUGGCUUCAAAUACACAUAGCUUCUAUGAUCAUUAGCUUGAGUUUAAUGAGGUUAUCAUUUGAGGAUAAAUAAAUCUUCCAUGGUUUUAUAUGGUGGAUCAGAAUCCCCCCCCCCCCCCCCCCCCCCCACCCCCUUUGCACUGAAUUUGGUGACAGGAGAUACCGCUGAGAGGCACAUAGGGAAGGUAAUUAUGUAGAAUCCCAAAUAAUUUUAGACACCUUAGUGACACUAAGACAUGAAUAUUAGAUGACUAAAGUAUAGUUCAGAUUUUUAGUCUCAUUUGAGACCCAUUUUCGACAUAAGAAACAUUCGAUUUGAAGAGUGAUAUUUAAAUAGAAGUUAUAACUCUUUGAGUUAGCUUUCUAACGCACUUUGAAUUACUUCAAUCGGAUAUCGAGAGAAGAAGUUAUGAUAGAAACACUGAAAACUGUGCAGUGUCAACCGGACUACAACCGGUCGACCGAAAGUGCCUGAAAUGAAAAUUCUUGUUUUUCUCUAGAAUUUAAAUAUUUAUUUUCAUCAAUUAUUUUCUCAAAGAGCCACCCACGUUUUUGGCAAUAAAAACCCCAUUAAAUUGAAGCAUUUAACCUCAAACUUAAAUGACACCCAUGUUUUCUCUCUUAAAUGAAAUUUGACCCUUCAUUUACUUUAAGUUAUGGGAUAUUUACCUAUAAAUAGAUACCUCAUUUCACUCAUUUUUUCUCACACCAAAAGCAAGAGCUUUUACAUACUAAAGAAAGAGUUUCCAACAGAGAAAAAGAGAGAGAGGAAAACUAUUUUUCCUAGAAGUUUCAGAAGUGUUUUCAAGCAUCAAUUCUCAACGAUUUUCAAACAUCCAAGGAGUGCAUUUCUUUCAACGUCCAAGUUUCAUCAAAGUUUUCAAUCCAAAUUUUCAAAGUUUCAAAAGUAUCAAUCAAGGUAGGUAGAAGUGCAAUGUGUUUAAUCGUGUUAAGUUAUAAGUUUCGAUUCAUGUUAAUGUUUAUAUGUCAAAUGGUACUCUGGUACGGCAUAUCCCUCUAUGUUAAUGGUUGUAUGUCAAAUGGUACUCCGGUACGGCAUAUCCCUCUAUGUUGAAGAAAUGUUCAUAUGUCAAAUGGUGCCCUCGGGUACGGCAUACCCCUUCAUGUCAAAUGGUACCUCCGGGUACAGCAUGUAUGAAAAGUUAUAAAGUUAAUGUUUUGAAAUGUAUAGCUUGAUCACGAAUGCACCUAUGACACCUAUUGAGUUUUUCAACUCACGGGUUUAAUCCCACUCUACAAAUUGAAGGAAUUCUACUUCGGGCAUGGAUGGAGGAGGAGAUGGAGAGUGAUGCAACGAGCCCAUAGAAAUCCGGUGAAUAAGUGAUUUGGAUUUAUUUUUAUGAAAUAUUUUUCAAUGUUAUUUCUUUAAAAUUUUGAAUAACGCAGAAUGCGAGAACAAGUUAUAUUUUUUUCAAAUAAAUUACAUUUUGUUGUUUUGAAAAAU
rnacentral:lncRNA from 1 species